UACGUAGGGCGCGAGCGUUAUCCGGAAUUAUUGGGCGUAAAGAGCUUGUAGGCGGUUUGUCGCGUCUGCUGUGAAAGCCCGGGGCUUAACCCCGGGUGUGCAGUGGGUACGGGCAGACUAGAGUGCAGUAGGGGAGACUGGAAUUCCUGGUGUAGCGGUGAAAUGCGCAGAUAUCAGGAGGAACACCGAUGGCGAAGGCAGGUCUCUGGGCUGUUACUGACGCUGAGAAGCGAAAGCAUGGGGAGCGAAC
rnacentral:rRNA from 1 species